GGGAUACAACAUGGCGGCCACAUCCUAACGCUCUCUGUCGAGGCGCCAGCGCGGAGGUCCUGGUUCGGAACCCUGUCUCAGAGGAGUGGAAGCUAGGGGGCCUCCCUUUCUGCCCCUUUCUUCUCCGCCCAGUGUCGGCCAGGGCCUGUCGUCGGCUUCCGCCUCCAGGAUGAAGAACUAUAAAGCGAUUGGCAAAAUAGGAGAGGGAACAUUUUCCAAAAUUAUGAAGAUGCAGAGCCUGAGAGACAGAAGCUACGACGCUUGUAAGCAAAUGAAACAGCACUUUGAAAGGUUUGCGGCUUCUGACGGGUCAGAUGCCAGGUGGGGGCAGGAAGCUGUCGGGACAGCGAGACAGAUGGCAGCCGCGGAACUGUAAAAAGCAGGAGGCACACUGACUCUGGGCUCGAGGUCGCUGUUAUUCUGAUGAGGACUCUGUAGUUCCCGCUGUUUGACGUACGGAAUCCGUGACAGGGCCUCCAGCUGGUUUGACAGGGGCUGACAAUCCGGUGCCGUCAUGAUCACUGACUGCUCCUGCGGAGACGAUGCCAGCUGUGCUGCGGGGAGCCCUUUCCGGGCAGCUCCUGGGUUCCUGCGCCGCGCCUCCUUCUUCUUUACUUGUUUUUUCCUUUUUGAACACUUUAAUUUUGGGCACGAUAAGAUUCUGAGGCUCAUCUUGUAUUUUUCCUCCCCUAGAAUCAUUCAUUUCUCCAGGGAGCCCGGGUUCCUUGU